UGGGGAAUAUUGGACAAUGGGGGGAACCCUGAUCCAGCCAUGCCGCGUGUGUGAAGAAGGCCUUUUGGUUGUAAAGCACUUUGAGCGAGGAGGAGGCUACUCUAGUUAAUACCUGGGGAUAGUGGACGUUACUCGCAGAAUAAGCACCGGCUAACUCUGUGCCAGCAGCCGCGGUAAUACAGAGGGUGCGAGCGUUAAUCGGAUUUACUGGGCGUAAAGCGUGCGUAGGCGGCUUUUUAAGUCGGAUGUGAAAUCCCUGAGCUUAACUUAGGAGUUGCAUUCGAUACUGGGAAGCUAGAGUAUGGGAGAGGAUGGUAGAACUCCAGGUGUAGCGGUGAAAUGCGUAGAGAUCUGGAGGAAUACCGAUGGCGAAGGCAGCCAUCUGGCCUAAUACUGACGCUGAGGUACGAAAGCAUGGGGAGCAAACAG
rnacentral:rRNA from 1 species